rnacentral:snoRNA from 1 species
CCCCUCUCAAAGUUGCACCUGGAGAGUUUCCAGUACUCUACCAGUCCUGACUAUGGGAGGGAGAGUCAAGCAGAUGCAUACCCAUUCCAUUCCUAGCUCGGGGAGUAGUUAGCGAGUGGAAGGCAAUCUGCUACAAGU